GAUGAAGAACGUAGCGAAAUGCGAUAAGUAAUGUGAAUUGCAGAAUUCAGUGAAUCAUCGAAUCUUUGAACGCAACUUGCGCCCUCUGGUAUUCCGGAGGGCAUGCCUGUUUGAGUGUCAUGUAGACUCAAUCCCUCGGGUUUCUGAGGAGGUUGGAUUUGGGUGCUUGCCUUCUGGCUCGCCUUAAAGGACUUAGCAGGAUAGCACUGUAGUCGACGUAAUAAGUCUUGUCGGUGAAAGUGUGAUGUCUGCUUACAGAUUGCCCUUGGGCACUUUUGACUCUGACCUCAAAUCAGGUAGGACUACCCGCUGAACUUAAGCAUAUCAAUAAGCGGAGGA
rnacentral:misc_RNA from 1 species